rnacentral:rRNA from 1 species
CAGUCGCCGCGGUAAUACGAAGGUCCCGAGCGUUGUUCGGAAUCACUGGGCGUAAGGGGAGCGUAGGCGGCGUGGUAAGUCAGAUGUGAAAUCCCGGGGCUCAACCCCGGAACUGCAUCCGAUACUGCCGUGCUAGAGGAUUGGAGAGGUAGCUGGAAUUCUUGGUGUAGCAGUGAAAUGCGUGGAGAUCAAGAGGAACACUCGUGGCGAAAGCGAGCUACUGGACAAUAUCUGACGCUGAGGCUCGAAGGCCAGGGUAGCGAAAGGGAUUAGAUACCCCUGUAGUCCCUGUCUCUUAUAC